GAAAGAUGCGCUGCUGGUAUGAAAAUUGCAUGUGCUGAACUUGGAUGGACAGAUUAAAAACACCCAGAACCAAACUUAUUCAUGGAGGAACCAGGUGAAAUUUCUUAUUCAGGUAUGUGCUGCACGGUGUAUCAGUGUAUUGAGGUUAGAUACAAACUCUGCUCAUGCUCUGAGGUGACCAAAAUCUGUAUGACCAGAGAAGUGUGCUGCAGCAUACUGGCGGUGAGCACCAGCUGAAGGCUUCUCUGGAUCCAUGCAUCCCACCUGGAGUUCAGGCACAGCUCACACGAUGACGUGAUGGGCAGAAGGGCUGUAGCUAUGAUUAAAGACUGCUUGCUAACCCAGUUCCUGUCUGCAGGAUUAGGACACAAAAAUACAGGCUUUUGUGGAUAAUACCUCAGAACUGUCUUGUACAUGUCAAAUGGAUGAUGUAAACCAUGGAGGCUGUAAGUGUCCUAAAUGUCUCAGCACUGCAAUUCCACAACUGGGAGAGUUGGGAAGAGUGGAUCCUUGCUCCUGUGGGGUACAAACAACGCUCAUGGUUUGGUCCUUGCCUACUAUGCUGGAUUCACAUGCUCAGAAGCAAAGGUGAAUUCUCCCUAAUUCAGAGUGGGAAUCUAGGUUUUUACUGCUAUACAAGAGUACUACACCUCUGUUUUAUGGCAUUACAAAGGCUUUGGGCAUUUGUUGUAGCUUUGUUUCAGAUGAUCUCUGUCAGAAGCACUUAACAGUUAAGUCUCAGGGGGAAUGAAAUGUUUUAAUUUCAGUGAAGUUACUGGAUUUACUUACAAGGGAGAGAUGUAAUGGCCUGUGAUACAAAAGAGGUGACCUUCAGCUCUGACUUUACAUUCUGUUACAAAUUCCUACGCAUAUAUAUUGCUGAGGGAAGGUUUUGGCACAAUAUGCAUUUAAUUUAAAAAUGGUGUUUAUUCCAAUUGUGCAGAGAUGUUUUAGCAUAUAUGAAGAGUUAAAUCCAGAGAAAGACACUUUAACCAAAGAUCAAGAUGAAAAGCCAAGUUACAUUAUAAAGAUACUUAAGCAAAUGUACCAUAUUUAAUCUACUCUCAUCUUAAAGCAACUUCUCAUUUGCACUUUCACUUACAUUUCUAAUGCAGUGGUAUUUAUUACCUUUUGCCUACCUUACCAAAUGAGCAACAAUCUCUAGAGAUAUCUCCUCUCUGAUUAGAAAACACUUGCUGCAAAAUAAUAGAUUUAUGAAAUAUACAUGAAGAAACUUUUAUUAAAAUUACAUUAAUAGCCAAAUUCUGCACACAAUUACACUUGGCCAUUGCAAAAUCAAUGAAUUGCACUGGGAUAAUAGAGAGCAGAAUUUGCCCUGACCGAAUAAUUUUAGCUGAUUAAAAACAAUGAAAUGAGAUAUUAAUAUUGACACUCCCUGUUUGAAAUAUCAUUGUUCUGUGGACCCGGAAUUCAUGAUUUAGGACUCAGUGUGGAGGAACAAAGCCACUCUGCCAGCCAGCCCUGCCAGCAAGACAAUAUAUACUCUGACAAAUGGUCUCAUAUAUAACUCCACUUCUGGGAGGUAAAAGGAGGAGAGUCUUAUUCUCUCCUGCUUUGCACUAGGUCAGAAUUAAUAUUCUCCUACAGCAGCUGAUGAUACAUACCUGAGUAAGCUUUACACUGGCUAUCUCAGGUGUUGAGAACAGAGCCAUGGCAGGAUGGAGUUCAAGAGAGGCUAAGCACCCAAAUAUUUACUCAGUUCAUCUUGUCACUAGCUCACUUCGGUACCUCCUUUAGGUUAGCUACAAUAUGACACUGGCUGAGGUCCAACCAGCAGGUUUAUUACCUCUAAAUGCAGAACUGGGUUUAUUAACUUGGGUAGAGAACUGUGCUAUUGUAAUAUAUAUGAUACUGUAUAGAUAGGGAAGUAAAAUGGCUUUAAUUCUUCUGGUCUGCAAGAUAGCUCAUGGCUCUGAAUUGUGUUUUGUAUUCUGAGGGAAUGAUAGUCCCCGUGUGAGAGAACGUCUGGCCUAGAGGAGGAAAAAAAAAAGAGCACCUACACCUGGGGCUAAUGACAAUGCAGCAGAGGCUACUAAAGGAGAUGGAGCUGGGCAACCUCCCUGUGCUACUCUGUGGAGUGAUUUUGGGGUUGCACCCUCUGUUCCCCAUUUACUCAUUUACUUUGAACCAGAGGAUUAUGGUACUUGGAGGUUUCUGAACUGAUUGCUUAAGUCUUAAUAGCUGUGAAACCCCAACACAUUUAGAGUUGCCCAAGAUAUCACUGCUUUGGAUGGACCUCAUCUGGCUGUGCUUGUGCCUGGCUAGAACCACAGCCUCUCCGUAUCCUCCUGUAUUGGUGGUGGUGGCUAGCAACGGCACAGAAACUGCUGUAAUAAAAAGGAGAUGUAAAGAUGACA
rnacentral:lncRNA from 1 species